rnacentral:rRNA from 1 species
UACGGGGGGGGCAAGCGUUGUUCGGAAUUACUGGGCGUAAAGGGCUCGUAGGUGGCCAACUAAGUCGGACGUGAAAUCCCUCGGCUUAACCGGGGAACUGCGUCUGAUACUGGAUGGCUUGAGUUCGGGAGAGGGAUGCGGAAUUCCAGGUGUAGCGGUGAAAUGCGCAGAUAUCGGGAGGAACACCAGCGGCGAAGGCGGCACUCUGGGCUGGAACUGACGCUGAGGAGCGAAAGCGUGGGUAGCAAACAGG